GAUGAACGCUGGCGGCGUGCCUAAUACAUGCAAGUCGAACGAUGAACCCGGAGCUUGCUCCGGUGGAUUAGUGGCGAACGGGUGAGUAACACGUGAGUAACCUGCCCUUGACUCUGGGAUAACUGCGGGAAACUGUAGCUAAUACCGGAUACGACCCUCGGCGGCAUCGCCAGGGGGUGGAAAGAAUUUCGGUCAAGGAUGGACUCGCGGCCUAUCAGCUAGUUGGUGAGGUAACGGCUCACCAAGGCAACGAUGCGUAGCCGACCUGAGAGGGUGAUCGGCGACACUGGGACUGAGACACGGCCCAGACUCCUACGGGAGGCAGCAGUAGGGAAUCUUCCGCAAUGGACGAAAGUCUGACGGAGCAACGCCGCGUGAGUGAUGAAGGCUUUCGGGUCGUAAAACUCUGUUGUUAGGGAAGAACAAGUGCUAGUUGAAUAAGCUGGCACCUUGACGGUACCUAACCAGAAAGCCACGGCUAACUACGUGCCAGCCGCCGCGGUAA
rnacentral:rRNA from 1 species